rnacentral:tRNA from 1 species
GCCCUCAUAGCAUAGUGGUUAAGUACUAUGGCUGCUAACCAAGAGGCUGGUGGUUCGAAUCCACCAGGCA